UAGGGAAUCUUCCGCAAUGGACGAAAGUCUGACGGAGCAACGCCGCGUGAGUGAUGAAGGCUUUCGGGUCGUAAAACUCUGUUGUUAGGGAAGAACAAGUACGAGAGUAACUGCUCGUACCUUGACGGUACCUAACCAGAAAGCCACGGCUAACUACGUGCCAGCAGCCGCGGUAAUACGUAGGUGGCAAGCGUUAUCCGGAAUUAUUGGGCGUAAAGCGCGCGCAGGCGGUUUCUUAAGUCUGAUGUGAAAGCCCACGGCUCAACCGUGGAGGGUCAUUGGAAACUGGGGAACUUGAGUGCAGAAGAGAAAAGCGGAAUUCCACGUGUAGCGGUGAAAUGCGUAGAGAUGUGGAGGAACACCAGUGGCGAAGGCGGCUUUUUGGUCUGUAACUGACGCUGAGGCGCGAAAGCGUGGGGAGCAAACAGGAUUAGAUACCCUGGUAGUCCACGCCGUAAACGAUGAGUGCUAAGUGUUAGAGGGUUUCCGCCUUUAGUGCUGCAGCUAACG
rnacentral:rRNA from 1 species